CCUACGGGAGGCAGCAGUGAGGAAUAUUGGUCAAUGGGCGUAAGCCUGAACCAGCCAAGUCGCGUGAGGGAUGAAGGUUCUAUGGAUCGUAAACCUCUUUUAUCAGGGAAUAAAGUGUGGGACGUGUCCUGUUUUGUAUGUACCUUAUGAAUAAGGAUCGGCUAACUCCGUGCCAGCAGCCGCGGUAAUACGGAGGAUCCGAGCGUUAUCCGGAUUUAUUGGGUUUAACGGGUGCGUAGGCGGCCUUUUAAGUCAGCGGUGAAAGUCUGUGGCUCAACCAUAGAAUUGCCGUUGAAACUGGGAGGCUUGAGUAUGUUUGAGGCAGGCGGAAUGCGUGGUGUAGCGGUGAAAUGCUUAGAUAUCACGCAGAACCCCGAUUGCGAAGGCAGCCUGCCAAGCCAUGACUGACGCUGAUGCACGAAAGCGUGGGGAUCAAACAGGAGUAGAUACCCUGGUAGUC
rnacentral:rRNA from 1 species